AGUGAACGCUGGCGGUAGGCCUAACACAUGCAAGUCGAACGGCAGCACAGUAAGAGCUUGCUCUUACGGGUGGCGAGUGGCGGACGGGUGAGGAAUACAUCGGAAUCUACUUUUUCGUGGGGGAUAACGUAGGGAAACUUACGCUAAUACCGCAUACGACCUACGGGUGAAAGCAGGGGAUCUUCGGACCUUGCGCGAUUGAAUGAGCCGAUGUCGGAUUAGCUAGUUGGCGGGGUAAAGGCCCACCAAGGCGACGAUCCGUAGCUGGUCUGAGAGUAUGAUCAGCCACACUGGAACUGAGACACGGUCCAGACUCCUACGGGAGGCAGCAGUGGGGAAUAUGGGACAAUAGGCGCAAGCAUGAUCCAGCCAUACCGCGUGUGUGAAGAAGGCGUUCGGGUUGUAAAGACCUUUUGUUGGGAAAGAAAAGCAUCAGGUUAAUACCCAGCUGAUCUGACGGUACCCAAAGAAUAAGCACCGGCUAACUUCGUG
rnacentral:rRNA from 1 species